rnacentral:lncRNA from 1 species
ACAAUACAUCAAAUUUUAAUGCAACCUAGUAGUAACGUUAUGGCAUGUUCAACCAUACCACAAAAAUAUUACAAACAUAACAAUUCACGGCAGCUAGCUAGCUAUUCACAGUGAAGUCGCUGCUGCCUGCUGCAUCUUUAUUCCUCCCUCGUAAACACAAUAAUGCCCACUAGAAUUUUUAUACUGUCUCGUAAUCCUUUCAUGGAAUUUUAACGAUACUCAAGGAGUAAUAGGAUCAUAAUAAAGUUAAUCUUUUUUUCAUUCAUGGGUAGUUGUCAUCAUCACCUCCUCCUCCUCCUCCUCCGUACCCAGACCCUUCACCUGAUCCACUACCAUACCCGGAUCCUCCAUUGCUUCCACUCCCGCCUCCACCUCCUCCUCCGCUCCCUCCACCGCCUCCACCUCCUCUUCCCUUCUCGCCACUCCCUCAACUCUGNNNNNNNNNNNNNNNNNNNNNNNNNNNNNNNNNNCACCACCACCUCCACCGCCGCUACCACCACCUCCGCCUGCAUUCCCAGACCCUGAACCAUACCCAGACCCGCUACCGGAUCCAUACCCAGAACCCGACCCAACUCCAACAAUAGAACCCCCACCACCUCCACCUCCACCACGUCCACCUCCGCCGCCACCACCGCCACCUUUAUUACCAAGCGUCCUGGCAGCAAAGGCAAUUUGGACAAGGAACAAAACAAGGAAUGCAGCACCAAUGAGAUGCUUCCUCAUCAUGGAAGAAGAAGUAGCCAUAUUGCCCUCACAACUGUGGAUUUAACUAUAUGAAUGUGCAAUUAAUUGUGUGCUAUAAUUAUACGUGUGUUGUGGGUUGUAAUUGAGAAUGAAUGUGGGAUAUGAAACAAAGCAUACUCUCCCCCUGGCUAUUUAUAGGCAUUGCUAUAGCGGGAGGGAGAAUCAAACAAUAAGAAUAAUAGGGUUCUUUCUAGUUCAUUCGAUGGUGAAAUAUGAACAGAACAAAGUGGGGGAAUACACUUAGUGGGUGUUGGUGGCGUGGUGGUGG